rnacentral:lncRNA from 1 species
CUCACAGUAUGAACUGGUGUGCUAAGGGCUCACGGAAACAGAACUUGAGCCCAGAACCUGUCUUGAGCACAAGGACUCAACUCUUGGUAGGCUCAACCUAACUUAAAAUGGCAGACUAGGCAACUCCCUAGAGUGCUAAAAUCCUUGGGGGUACUUUCUUCAACUAAAAUGUUCUUAGAGAGAAAUCUACUGCUUGUACUUGUGGAGGCAAUGCCGAAAGGCAGCUCGGCAACUCAUUUCUACUGAAGAAGCAGGCUCACAGUAUGGGUGUGCUGUUAGACUCACCUCUGGGGAUGAGUUGGUUGCUCAAGUGUUUUCUGUGCUUUGUAGCACGUUUUACCAGCUUGGGUUGUUAGGCAAGCUGCUGCCCUUCCUUGAAAUCUGUGAAGCAGCCACAGUUGUAUAAAUUCUGGUAACUAUGCCACUGCAAUGUAGGGCUAGAAGCUUAAUUUGGUUAAGGACACAGCAACAAAACUGGUCAUUGGUUUAAAUUACAGAGAGCACAUCUUCUUGGUACUUAAAGCAGGGGUAGGUAACCCACUGCCAGCGGGCCAAAUAUGGCCUGCCAAAAGGUUUUGAGUGGACUGCAGAGACCCUGAACCAUUAUGCGGCUUUCUAAAAUUCUGGGUGAUUUACCCUCCACAUUUUUCUGAGGUUAAUUACAUUUGCUGGGCUUCUCAAGUGCCCUGGGGCAUUUUGGGGGCUACUAUUAAGCUCACAUCCACAGAUUUAAAGUACCCUUAUUCCACUUCAGCAGUCAUGAAGAAUCCUGGGAAGUGUAGUUUGUUAAGGGUGUUGGCAACUGUAGGUCAGUGAGAUCAGCACCCCAAUAAACUAUAGUUCCCAGGAUUCUUGGGGGGGGGGGAGCCAUGACUGUUAAAGUGGUAUAAAAAAGGUAAAGAGACCCCUGACCAUUAGGUCCAGUCGUGACCGACUCCGGGGUUGCGGCGCUCAUCUCGCUUUAUUGACUGAGGGAGCCGGUGUACAGCUUCUGGGUCAUGUUCCCAGCAUGAUUAAGCCGCUUCUGGCGAACCAGAAUGCUUUAAAAGUAUUGUGUGAAUGUGACCAUAUUUCAAUUGGGGCUUCUAGGGAAAUAUGCAGGACAUUUAAUGGAUUGCUCUUUGUUGCCGCUUACCAGUGUUCUUAACAAGGCUGCUCAUUAGUAGCCUAUUUGCUGCUGGUUCCAUUGUUUCCCCUGCUUCAGGAGAAACAAUAAAUCUGGCAAUGAAAAUACUGCAUUGGCCCAAAUAUAAAGCGCACCCGCACCUUUAAAAUUCAAGGGGGCGGGGAGAAUACCCGAAUAUAAGCCGCUCCCUUAAAAUUCCGCAGGCAUUCACACUCGUAAAUGGCAAAUGUGGAAAAAACUCCUAUGGGUACUAGAGAGGACCCACAAGUGAAAGCGAUGAAUGACAUAAGAAUUAAUUGCACAACAGUCUCAGACUCGCAAAUCGGCAAUAAAACAUUUGGUUCCAUUUUACCGUAUGUCUGUUUUAGCAGUGAUAUCGUAAAAGCCCAUUUUUGUAAGGCCACGAAUUUAAGCUGCACUUUAACUUUUCAUGGUUGGAAUUUGGAGGAAAACGUGUGGCUUAUAUUCAGGCCAAUACGGUGUGUGAUGAAAUCAGUGCCACCUUUUGUACGAUUGGCAACCCUUUUUGAGCCCUAAGACGCAUUCCCUUCUGAGCAAUCUUUUGGUUGCUGGAGGCAAAAGGCAGCAGAUCAAUGAAUGUAAAAACAAAAUUAAAAAAUUCAUUCCAGUAGCACCUUAGAGACCAACUAAGUUUGUUAUUGGUAUGAGCUUUUGUGUGCAUGCACACUUCUUCAGAUACACUGAAACAGAAGUCAUCAGACCCUAAUAUAUAGUGAGAGGGUGAGGAGAGGUAUUACUCAGAAGGGUGAUGGGAAUGGGUGAUUGGCUGAUAGGCGUGGUAAACCUGUUGAUGACUGUUAACGACUGCAGUUGGUCUUACAGGAAAAAGCAAGGGGUGAGAUGGCUAAAGAUAGCUUUAUCAUGUAUAAUGAGGUAAGAAUCCAGUGUCUCUUUUCAGACCAGGUCUUUCCAUGGUUUUAAGUUUGGUAAUAAGAUGCAAUUCAGCAACUUCUCUUUCCAGUCUAUUUCUGAAAUUCUUUUGUAAUAAGACAGCUACUUUGAGAUCUUGUAUAGAAUGUCCUGGGAGAUUGAAGUGUUCUCCUACUGGUUUCUCUAUCUUGUGAUUCCUGGUGUCAGAUUUAUGUCCAUUUAUCCUUUGAAUGUAAAAUUCACCUUUAUAUAGGCAGUUUGUUUCUGCACACACACCCCUCUCUAUCUUCCAUCCAGGGAAGUAAGAAUAUUUAUCAGAAUUCAAGGACCCAUUCCAGCCAGGCAAAGAUGCUCAAGGAGAAGAUUCAUGGGGGACAUAGUCAAAUGCUUUGCUGAAGUUACGGUAUGUUAUUGUCCAUGGCAUUUCAGUUAUCCACCUAACUUGCAACUCUAUCAAAGAUGUAUGCUUGGAAACAUCCAGUUCAAUCUCUUACAGAAUGAGAGAAACACAUUCCUAUUCAUACCAACAGCACCAGGAAGCAGCCCUUCAUUCCUGUACUGUUGAAAUGCUAAAACUCCAGAAAAAACGAAUAAAGUAAAAUCAGUAGGCACCAAACACCAAAACUCAGAAAUGUCAGAUAAUGCCUGCUAGUAGAUUACUUUCUGCAGUACACGUAGGAUGAAGCUGUCAGCGCAUCUCCAUGUGAUAUGAAAAGCAAUCAAAAUUGUUUUAAUUGCUUAAAUUUUAAUUGAUGAGACUGACGUAUAUUUCUCUGAUAUAUAUAUUUGAUAAACGUGCCUAACCAGUGACAUGUAUUUUUUUUAAUACACUAGAUGUUCCUGAGUUUGCAAUUAUUGUUCCCUUCAGAGUGGAUUAUGAUGAAUCUGCAAUUAUGGAAUACAGUGCUUCCUCAUCGUGACUUAAGUUUGGGUCAACCUAAGAUCUGUAUGGCAUUUAGUAGUUCUAUACAAAACAGGAAAUCAGCUAGGAGCAGACAUAUCCUGAGCUGUUCACAGAGCAUUGUGCAAAUUUCAGCUGAGAAUGCUGCAAUGUAGACACAUAUCUUUUUUUCAGUGGAAAAUAAAAGAUUUGUAUGGGGAUGGGACAGGAAGCGAGAAAUUUCCUAAUUCUGAACAAA